CUGGCUCAGGACGAACGCUGGCGGCGUGCUUAACACAUGCAAGUCGAGCGGUAAGGCCCUUCGGGGUACACGAGCGGCGAACGGGUGAGUA
rnacentral:rRNA from 1 species